AUCACUUCUCGGCCUUUUGGCUAAGAUCAAGUGUAUGUAUAGGCUUUAUGUAAUAAUUAGAAGAAUGUCUUCUACUUGCUUUUUUUUUUCUUAAGUAAGCUCUGUGCCUAAUGUGGGGCUUGAACUCACAACCCUGAGAUCAAGAGUUACAUGCUCUUGGGGCGCCUGGGUGGCACA
ensembl:snRNA U2 U2 spliceosomal RNA